AGAGAGAGAGAGGGGCUAUAUCUGUGACAAAAAUGAAGAUUAGUGGCGAAUAUUACUUAAAGUAAUAACGAUAAUGAUAAAUAACAACGGUAACUUCAAAAUAAUGUCCAGGAGUAGAUAAUACGAGAAAUGUAUUUGAGGAAGAAACAAGAAAAGAGGCUAUUCAUGAGAAACCAGAUGAGAUUAGUCACGAAUACCGCUUAAUGUAAUACCAAUAAUAAUAAGUAACAAUAGUAACUUAGAAAUAAAGGCUAGGAGGAGAUAAUUAAUUAGAAAAAUGAAAAAGGAACCAAUUUUUGGGCUCGUGGUGAGUGAAGUGCGCGGGAAACAAUGUCAGUGAUCGUCUACAAGUAAUUUUUUCCUCCUUAUUUUACUGAUUAUCUCGCCUUCCACAUGGAUUACUUGACUGGGCUGUGGUCUACAAGGACUCUAGGAUACCAGGAUUACAUAGGAACUAUCAAAUCCGCGUGGUAAGUAGGAUUUAAGGUGUUAUUAGCGUUAAAUGUUGCAAGGCGGCGGUGAUUUACCAAGGCGGCGGGGGAUGGAAAUGUCGCCAUGUUAAUUUUAUUUCUUAUUUUACCGAAUAUCUCGCCUUACACGUGGAUUACCUUGCUGGGCGGUGGAUUAUUCGGACUCUAGGAUACCAGGAUUACAUAGAAGCCAUUAUUGCCUUGUGGUAAGCAGUAUUUAAGAAGUUAUUAAUGUUAGUGUUACAAGGCGGCGGGGAUUUAUCGAGGCUGCGGGGGGUGCAAAUGGCGACUCAAUUACUUAUAUAUUUUCCAUCUUAUUUUACAGAAUAUCUCGCCUUCCACGUGGAUUUCCCGACUGGGCGGUGGAUUACAAGCACUCUAGAUUACCAGGAUUACAUAUCAGUCAUUAAUACCGCGUGGUAAGCAGGAUUUAAGGGGUUAAUAUCGGUUUUAAGGAAAUAACGAAAGAAUGUGUAAGAUAAGUGAUCAAGAUAACAAGAAGGUCAGUGUUAAGAAAGACGGGAUAAGUGGAAAUAUAAAUGAAGGUCAGUGUUAAGAAAGUGGAAAUAAAUGAAGGUCAGUGUUAAGAAAGUGGAAAUAAAUGAAGGUCAGUGUUAAGAAAGUGGAAAUAAAUGAUAAGAAAAUGAGAAAAUAAAAAUGUUGUACUAAAUCGUGCAAAAAAUGGAUUUACUACUACUACUACUACUACUACUACUACUACUACUACUACUACUACUACUACUACCACCACCACCACCACCACCACCACUACUACUACUACUACUACUACUACUACUACUACUACUACUACUACUACCACCACCACCACCACCACCACUACUACUACUACUACUACUACUACUACUACUACUACUACCACCACCACCACCACCACCACCACUACUACUACUACUACUACUACUACUACUACUACUACUACUACCACCACCACUACUACUACUACUACUACUACUACUACUACUACUACUACUACUACUAUUACUACUACUACUACCACCACUACUACUACUACUACAACUACUACUACUACUACUUCUACUAAGUGUGAAUAAAUGUGAAUAUAGAAAAAAAGAUGAUUAAAAGAAAAAAUAAGUGAAAAUUUAUAAAAAAAAAAGAAAAAAAGAAAGUGAAAGAAAAUAUAGAAGUGAACGAAGGAUAAGAAAAUGAAAAAAAGAAAAUACAAGAAAAAAGAAAAUGAUAAAUAGAAGGAAAUAAAAGAAAAUGUGAUUAAAAUGAAGGGCAGUGUUAAUAGAAUGAAAUAAAUAAGAAAACAGAAAGAAAAUAAAGUGUUAGAAAAAAAAGAUGAUUAAAGAAAAUGUUAAAAAUGAAGGUCAGUGUUUAGAAAGUGGAAAUAAAUGAAGGUCAGUGUUAAGAAAGUGGAAAUAAAUGAAGGUGUGUUAAGAAAGUGGAAAUAAAUGAAGGUCAGUGUUAAGAAAGUGGAAAUAAAUGAAGGUCAGUGUUAAGAAAGUGGAAAUAAAUGAAGGUCAGUGUUAAGAAAGUGGAAAUAAAUGAAGGUGUGUUAAGAAAGUGGAAAUAAAUGAAGGUCAGUGUUAAGAAAGUGGAAAUAAAUGAAGGUGUGUUAAGAAAGUGGAAAUAAAUCAAGGUCAGUGUUAAGAAAGUGGAAAUAAAUGAAGGUCAGUGUUAAGAAAGUGGAAAUAAAUGAAGGUCAGUGUUAAGAAAGUGGAAAUAAAUGAAGGUGUGUUAAGAAAGUGGAAAUAAAUGAAGGUCAGUGUUAAGAAAGUGGAAAUAAAUGAAGGUCAGUGUUAAGAAAGUGGAAAUAAAUGAAGGUCAGUGUUAAGAAAGUGGAAAUAAAUGAAGGUGUGUUAAGAAAGUGGAAAUAAAUGAAGGUCAGUGUUAAGAAAGUGGAAAUAAAUCAAGGUCAGUGUUAAGAAAGUGGAAAUAAAUGAAGGUCAGUGUUAAGAAAGUGGAAAUAAAUGAUAAGAAAAUAGGAAAAUAAAAAUGUUAUACUAAGUAGUGCAAAAAAUGGAUGUACUACUACUACUACUACUACUACUACUACUACUACAUCGUAAGUACUGACAUAAAUCUUGUGUUGCUGUUGUUGUUGUACUUUAAUAAUUAUAAUUUGAUAUGCCAAAAAAAUAUGAUGGCGAAUAAAAUAUUAGAGAGAGAGAGAGAGA